rnacentral:tRNA from 1 species
CGGGGCGUAGCGCAGUUUGGUAGCGCGCUUCCUUGGGGUGGAAGAGGUCGUGGGUUCAAAUCCCGUCGCUCCGA